rnacentral:rRNA from 1 species
UACGGAAGGCAGCAGUGGGGAAUAUUGCACAAUGGGCGCAAGCCUGAUGCAGCCAUGCCGCGUGUAUGAAAAAGGCCUUCGGGUUGUAAAGUACUUUCAGUCGUGAGGAAGGUGUUAAGGUUAAUAACCUUAGCAAUUGACGUUAGCGACAGAAGAAGCACCGGCUAACUCCGUGCCAGCAGCCGCGGUAAUACGGAGGGUGCGAGCGUUAAUCGGAAUUACUGGGCGUAAAGGGCACGCAGGCGGUUAAUUAAGUUGGAUGUGAAUCCCCGGGCUUAACCUGGGAAUGGCAUUCAAGACUGGUUAGCUAGAGUCUUGUAGAGGGGGUAGAAUUCCAUGUGUAGCGGUGAAAUGCGUAGAGAUGUGGAGGAAUACCGGUGGCGAAGGCGGCCCCUGGCAAAGACUGACGCUCAUGUGCGAAAGCGUGGGGAGCAAACGAGGAUUAGAUACC